rnacentral:rRNA from 1 species
CCUGGCGGCCUUAGCGCGGUGGUCCCACCUGACCCCAUGCCGAACUCAGAAGUGAAACGCCGUAGCGCCGAUGGUAGUGUGGGGUCUCCCCAUGCGAGAGUAGGGAACUACCAGGC